GAUGAACGCUGGCGGCGUGCCUAAUACAUGCAAGUCGAGCGAACGGACGAGAAGCUUGCUUUUCUGAUGUUAGCGGCGGACGGGUGAGUAACACGUGGAUAACCUACCUAUAAGACUGGGAUAACUUCGGGAAACCGGAGCUAAUACCGGAUAAUAUUUUGAACCGCAUGGUUCAAAAGUGAAAGACGGUCUUGCUGUCACUUAUAGCUGGAUCCGCGCUGCAUUAGCUAGUUGGUAAGGUAACGGCUUACCAAGGCAACGAUGCAUAGCCGACCUGAGAGGGUGAUCGGCCACACUGGAACUGAGACACGGUCCAGACUCCUACGGGAGGCAGCAGUAGGGAAUCUGCCGCAAUGGGCGAAAGCCUGACGGAGCAACGCCGCGUGAGUGAUGAAGGUCUUCGGAUCGUAAAACUCUGUUAUUAGGGAAGAACAUAUGUGUAAGUAACUGUGCACAGCUUGACGGUACCUAAUCAGAAAGCCACGGCUAACUACGUG
rnacentral:rRNA from 1 species